rnacentral:misc_RNA from 1 species
GUCACUGGCUAUGCGCCUCAUGGCCUGAAACAUGGUGGGUGCACCAGCUCCCUGAAUUGAACCUGAACCCACCUCUUCAUUAUCAAAUAACGCAACCAUUCGAACUGCCUGCUCACUUUUUAAGUCACUACGAGAUUCACAAGAAUCAAUAAGAGCUCUUAAUGCACAAUAGCUUGACGCAAGGUUGUCUAGUCUUCCUGAG